AUCGUUGACAAAAUUUCGAUUCGCCAAAAUUGCAGGCCAAUGCUGUCGACCCACGAAUUCAACUUUUUUUUUUUUCGAUAUUCUUGAAAUUUAUCUUUUUGUGGAAAAUAAUAACUUUGAUGCAAUAAAUUUAAUUAUGAUUUUUGUUUUAUUUUAAUGAUUAAUCGAUAAUUAAUGAUUUCGAACAUUCUUUUUCCAAACCUGGAUGAUGGGUGUGCCUUAAACCCACCCUGCUUGUUCGAAGUUGGCUGGGAGAAAAGUCGAUACGUGAGUCACAGACGUACACACCCAAAUAUUGCGGAUCUAAUAAAAAAAAUACCUUCGAGACCACAAUUGCCAAUAUUUCAAAUUUUAUUUGGCAUGCAAAUUUUUUUGAAUGUAAUAUUAAUAAAACAAAAUUAUUUUCAUUUUUCAACCUUUUUUUCAAAUAAUACUCAUUAUUGCUUGUUUAAUUACAGGUAUUAAUUGUCGAUUUUUUUUUUUUUUUUUGAUCAUCAAUAAUAUUGUGCAUGCAAAAGUUUAUGGCAAGUUAAUUCGACAUGGGCAAUAAUAAUGCACGUUUGUGUGCAUAGCUGUGUGUAAAAGCAGCUUACAAGCAGGAGAAAAGAACGGAAGGCGAACGAGUGGCGACAGGAGAGCAGGUAGGGUGGGUUACGCGUUGCAACGCGUAAGCCAGUCUUCUCACCGUUACCAUGUAUGGAUCACUCGCUCUUCGUUUCGAAGGAAAAAAAUCAGCCAUGAUAGUGUACACGCCCGCGCAUCUCAGUGUGUGUAUAUUCUUCUGCAUGUACUUGGUUAAGCGUGCAAACACUGUUUCGCAUUGAUAGACACGAGUCGCAGUAUGCAAACAUAACGGACCUACCAAUAACGGGGGAUCAUAUUUAUUAUCAAGACAUCCGUUGGAAAAUUUACGAUCAAUUCGUCUCGUUUUUCUGAUAUAAUUAUUAAAAAAAAAAAAUAAUAAUUAUUUAAAAAUUGGAAAUUAAAUUGAACAAAGUAUUUAAAGAUAUUUGAUAUCGAAAUGACGCACACGAUAAAAUUGAGUCACGAAUAUUGAUUGAAUUUCAUUUGAAGUUCGUUAUCGAAUGUACCACUGUAAAUUAGUAAAAAAAAAUGUGCUAAAAAAAUCAUUAACUCUACGACAAUUAUCUUUCAUCAAAAGUAAUAUCGUGCGAUCGAACAAUAAUUGAUAAUUUUUUGUUGAUAAUGAUAGAUACGAUAUUUUAUAUAUACAUGCGAAAAGGGAUGAUCAUGAGUCACGAAAUUAUUGAGCUUCCCGAACAUCCUUUCCUUUUUUCUAUAAAAUUUUUGUAUAUAUUUCGUAUAAUUUUCAUUAUUCAUACUUUCUUAUAAUCUUAGAAAUUCCGAAGAAGAAGAUUAUGCUUUCUCUCGUAAUAA
rnacentral:lncRNA from 1 species